AUGUUUUUUUUCAAACUUGAAUGGAAUGAAUGUGCCUUUUCUGCAUGUUCUAUGGAGAGAGGGCAAGAUGUAGAGUGUGAGAUGAAUAAUGUCCUGACUUGGUGGAAGAAAGUUGCUGUAGGGAGUGAUAAUAUGGGGGGAAGAGGGAGAGAAGAGGGCAGGAAAACUGACUACAACAUGAGGAAGAUUGACAGACACCAGGUCAUCCAGGUUCUGAAACACAGGAACAGCGUAAUCUACUACACGGCGCCCCCUACCAACAGCGAGUGGAAUCUCACAGCCCCUGUAUGGCCCUCACAAAAGUUCCAUAAGCCUCAACAUUUUUGCAUGAACUGGUGGUUUGAUCUGGACACCUGA
rnacentral:lncRNA from 1 species